AUUUUUCAAAAAUAUGUUUACAAUUUUCGUUCGUAUUUUAAGUUUGCUGUUGUUUUCCUUUUUUUCUCAUAUGUAUAUUUUUUUAUUUGAAUAAUAGUUGCUUAGGAGCUUGUUUAAAUAGUAAGUUUGUUUCAUAUUCUUGAGAAGUUACACAACUUGUUUUAAAUAAUUUUUUUUUAAUUAAUGAUAUUUAAAAAAAAAUGUCUUUUCACUCAUUGUUUUUUGUUCAAAAACUAGAUAUUUUUUGUUUAAAAACUCAUUACUUUAUCUUCAAACACUUCUUAUCUUUUUUUAAUUAUUUUUUGUUUUUCAAAAACAUAUAUUUUUCUUUUUAUAUGUAAAUAUAUUUUUAUUGCAUUUUUGUCAUUUUUUAAUUAACAGCAUAAUCCAUAUAUUUAUUUGAUGCAUUUGUGCACAACUUUUCAACACAUAACACAUUGAAAUAUUCAAUUUUUCCAUUAAAAUACGCAUACAAAACUUUUAGCGAUUUUUUUUUUAAUUUUUUUUUUGAAGGUAAAGUCAAUUUGGAAAACAAUUUAAGAAACAUAAAAAUGCAUUUAAUAAUUUAUUGAAAAAAUGAAAGCAUUGUUUUUAUUUAAUGCAGGGAAAACAACUAAAUUUUUUACAAUUAAUACUUAAGACUAAAGAAAAAAAACCGCAGGACAACCCAUAAUAAGGUAAGCGCAGAAGCAACGGUAUUUUAGUGGACAAAUUUGCAAGCGUAAACGAUUUUUGAAACAUUACAGCUAGCAAAAAUUGUUUUUAAAUAUUCUCAAUAGUAAUAAAAAUCAAACAUAGUUUCAAAUAAAUAUGAAAUUUGAUUUCUGAACGUUUCGCACUUUCCAAUUCGAGUUCAAGUAUUCUAAAUUUCAAAAAGUUGUUUGUAAUAAAUAUGAAAAUUAAAUUCUAAAUGUUCCGCACUUUCCAAUUCGAGUUCGAACAUUCUAAAUCUCAAAAAGUUGUUUUUAAUAAAUAUGAAAAUUAAAUUUUAAACGUUUCUCACUUUCCAAUUCGCGUCACACCGUUUAGCAGGUGAUGUACCCUGCUUUAAUUCACAACAAAGCCGCGCAAUUUAUUAUGAAUUGUCCAAGCGGUUGAAGAAGAAAUAAAUAAUAUGUAUUAUGCAGUAGAAAUACAACUAAGUACACGCCUCCAAGUCGUCAGUUUCAAGUGCGUGGCGCAACAAACUCGAGUGCGCCUCAUUAAAAUUGGCAACUGUGAAGGGUACAAGAAGCGGCCGAUUAUACUUAGCGUGUGUUCAAUGGUCCGCCAGUGUCAUUUAAUUUAUAAAUAACCUAUAGCGCCUUAAUUUCCAUUUUAAUCAACUGGUUACAAAUACGCUAUUGUUCAUUUUUCAUGUGAUAUUUUAUGAAUGUAUGUAUAUUAAUAGUUAGUAAGUGUGUGUGUGUGUUGUUACGCCUAUAAGCAGUUUAUAAAUUAAAUUUACGACUAAAGUGCAGCAGCGCUUUAUUUAUUUCUUAAAUAAUUUAAUAGUUUUUUGUUCAUUAUUACGACGAGUUCCAUCAUCCAAGAAAACAUAUUUUUUAUUUAAAUACUUAAUGUGUGCGCAUGUGCGCAUCACGUAUUUGUUAUAAUUUAAUUUUUUAUUAAGUAACUAUUUUCAAAAAAAAAAUUUUUUUUUAUUUAUUUUUAGAAUCAACACAAGCAGCAAAUUUACGAAUUUUACCUUUGCAAAGCAUUCUUGCGUGCAAAAAUGUGCGCCUAAUCUCGAAAUUGCAUGCAAAAAUGUGAUUUAUCAUUAAUCUUCAAGUAAGCAGCACUGUUUCGCUACAACAUUUGUGGUUCAGCAAUCAAAUUUAAAUUUUGCUCACAUCGAAAUGAAUUUCAUGCAGCACCACAGAAUUCCGCGUAUGUCUCAUGAAAACACAUGAUUUUGACACGACUGUUUUUAUUUAUCAUAUGUCAAAAAUGCUGUGGUUCGUUUGUAAUUUGCGAAAAAGUUUAUAUUUUUCUCAAUGACUUGCCUUUAAAUUUUAAAAUUUAAUUUAUAUACAAUCAAAAAGUGUUUUUGCUAGCUUUUAUUCAAUGCUUUAGUGCAACAAAAUUUUAUAAUUUUCAUAUAAAGCUUAAUAAAUAAAUAUUGUUGCAAUUUUUUUUAACUGAACACAAAUAAUAUAAGCUAAGCAUAAGCAUAGCUUUUACAAAAUAUUAUAAUAUAAACAAAUUCUAAUAAUUUUCACUUUAACAUGCGGGUAUAAAGCAAAAAUAGUAACAGUAAAUUGGUAAGCAGCUGAACACCUUUGCCAGAAGGUGCGCUGUAGCGUAUUGUGAGCGGUAAUCUCACAUAAAUAGCAGUUGAAAGGCUUUACAGUUAGCAAUAAGUAUAGAAACUACAACUUUGCCGCCUUUUGUCUAAUUUUGCACUUUCAUACUUUUAUAUGAAAUAUUUUUGUAUUUUUUUUUUUUUACCAGAAAACACAAUGUGUUCGCCUACUAAGCGUCUAACAAAUUUGACUAAGCAUAAAGUUAACAAAAAUUACGAUAAAGUAAAUAAAUUAAACAAAUGCAGCUCAAUGCCAAUAUACAAUUAAGUGUGUAUAUGUUAACAAAAUAGGAAAAUAUAUAUGUAUAUGUAGCAGCAUUGUUCAUAUUUUGUGUUUGUAUAAUUUGUUAAGACUUUUUUGUUGCACAUAUCAUUCAGCUUUUGAAUUUUUUCUAAUAUAAUGACUUUGUAAAGUAUGCUUUGUUACUCCUUGUAACAUUUCAAACUUUUUGUUGUAACUAAUUUAUUAUGCAAUACUUGUUGUUGGCUUUUUUUUCAAAUAAUAUUGAUAUUUACUUUUGUUGUCCAUUUCACGACACUCCAUAUCUUAUAUAGAUUUUGUGGCGCCAAAUUCAAUUU
rnacentral:lncRNA from 1 species